AGCGAACGCUGGCGGCAGGCCUAACACAUGCAAGUCGAACGGAUCCUUCGGGAUUAGUGGCGGACGGGUGAGUAACACGUGGGAACGUGCCCUUUGGUUCGGAACAACUCAGGGAAACUUGAGCUAAUACCGGAUGUGCCCUUCGGGGGAAAGAUUUAUCGCCAUUGGAGCGGCCCGCGUCUGAUCAGCUAGUUGGUGAGGUAACGGCCCACCAAGGCGACGAUCAGUAGCUGGUCUGAGAGGAUGAUCAGCCACACUGGGACUGAGACACGGCCCAGACUCCUACGGGAGGCAGCAGUGGGGAAUCUUGCGCAAUGGGCGAAAGCCUGACGCAGCCAUGCCGCGUGAAUGAUGAAGGUCUUAGGAUUGUAAAAUUCUUUCAGCGGGGACGAUAAUGACGGUACCCGCAGAAGAAGCUCCGGCUAACUUCGUG
rnacentral:rRNA from 1 species